rnacentral:piRNA from 1 species
UACUCCCAAGAGUGUUUGCUUACUGUGCCA